CCCCCCCCCCCCCCCCCCGCCACUGGCCCCUCCCCGCCCUCUCCCACCUCCCUCCACCCUCCCCCCUCCUCCCUCCGCGCCUGGGCCGCUGAAGGCUGAGUCAUCGCUGCGGCGCUGCCGGGAGAGCAGGCGAGCAGCUCACAUCCCACCGCGAUGUGGCCGACAGGAUUCCGGACUUUCGGGAGAAUAUGGUGGAAACUGGAGCUGUUCGCCGUGCACGGGGGUCCGCAGAUGUUUUUUGAUUGACCACUCAGUGCUAGGCACUGUGUUUGCUGCUGAGUGCUGGGCAGAGUGGGAAACAAGUUCCUAGCUCCUGCCCAUGAGGAGCUCACCGGGCACAACAAAUACACCGUCUGACCAGCUGUCCCUCUGGCCUGCAGCCUGUGAGCAGCUGCAAGUUUACAGCUUUGACAUCCGCUUGAAAGAAC